ensembl:miRNA mir-273 ncRNA
ACCUCGUUUUGGGAGCAGCCGGCAUUUUACGGGCUACACUUUUUUUAAAAUUGAUGUGUGCCCGUACUGUGUCGGCUGCUUUGAAAAUUUCGGU